CGGAAACGGACGCUAAUACCGCAUAAUGCAGCGGCAUCGCAAGAUGACAGUUGUUAAAGGAGCAAUUCGCUUGAAGAGGAGCUUGCGGCAGAUUAGCUAGUUGGUAAGGUAAUGGCUUACCAAGGCUACGAUCUGUAACCGGUCUAAGAGGACGGUCGGUCACACUGACACUGAAUAACGGGUCAGACUCCUACGGGAGGCAGCAGUCGGGAAUUUUGGGCAAUGGGCGAAAGCCUGACCCAGCAACGCCGCGUGAAGGAUGAAGUAUUUCGGUAUGUAAACUUCGAAAGAAUAGGAAGAAUAAAUGACGGUACUAUUUAUAAGGUCCGGCUAACUACGUGCCAGCAGCCGCGGUAAUACGUAGGGACCAAGCGUUGUUCGGAUUUACUGGGCGUAAAGGGCGCGUAGGCGGCGCCGCAAGUCACUUGUGAAAUCUCCGGGCUUAACUCGGAACGGCCAAGUGAAACUGCGGUGCUAGAGUGCAGAAGGGGCAAUCGGAAUUCUUGGUGUAGCGGUGAAAUGCGUAGAUAUCAAGAGGAACACCUGAGGUGAAGACGGGUUGCUGGGCUGACACUGACGCUGAUGCGCGAAAGCCAGGGGAGCAAACGGGAUUAGAUACCCCGGUAGUCCUGGCCCUAAACGAUGAAUACUUGGUGUCUGGAGUUAUUAGUGCUCCGGGUGCCGUCGCUAACGUUUUUAGUAUUCCGCCUGGGGAGUACGCUCGCAAGAGUGAAACUCAAAGGAAUUGACGGGGACCCGCACAAGCGGUGGAGCAUGUGGUUUAAUUCGACGCAACGCGAAGAACCUUA
rnacentral:rRNA from 1 species